AUUGAACGCUGGCGGCAGGCCUAACACAUGCAAGUCGAGCGGAUGAAGGGAGCUUGCUCCUGGAUUCAGCGGCGGACGGGUGAGUAAUGCCUAGGAAUCUGCCUGGUAGUGGGGGAUAACGUCCGGAAACGGGCGCUAAUACCGCCUACGUCCUGAGGGAGAAAGUGGGGGAUCUUCGGACCUCACGCUAUCAGAUGAUCCUAGGUCGGAUUAGCUAGUUGGUGGGGUAAAGGCCUACCAAGGCGACGAUCCGUAACUGGUCUGAGAGGAUGAUCAGUCACACUGGAACUGAGACACGGUCCAGACUCCUACGGGAGGCAGCAGUGGGGAAUAUUGGACAAUGGGCGAAAGCCUGAUCCAGCCAUGCCGCGUGUGUGAAGAAGGUCUUCGGAUUGUAAAGCACUUUAAGUUGGGAGGAAGGGCAGUAAGUUAAUACCUUGCUGUUUUGACGUUACCAACAGAAUAAGCACCGGCUAACUUCGUG
rnacentral:rRNA from 1 species